AUGACGAUUUACAUCGCGAGGGAGGCAACCAAGCUAUGGAGGAAGGUGUGCGCGGAGACUUCGGUGGAGCUGCAGCUUCUGUUCGAGAAGUGGCACCUGCUACUUGCCGGAAUUGUGUUUCAGUAUAUUCAUGGAUUGGCUGCUCGAGGAGUACAUUACUUGCAUCGGCCCGGUCCAAUACUCCAGGACAUGGGAUUUAUGGCCCUUCCGGAGCUCGGGCAAGACAAAGGUUAUCUUAGUGAGACUGUAUUCACUUGCAUCUUCCUUUCAUUUCUGUUGUGGAGUUUUCACCCUUUUGUUUAUCAUAGCAAACGUUUCUACACUGUUCUACUCUGGCGCAGGGUGCUUGCAUUUUUAGUCGCUUCACAGUUUUUGCGAAUUAUUACAUUCUAUUCCACUCAGCUUCCUGGCCCAAAUUAUCACUGUCGUGAGGGCUCGAAACUGGCCACUCUUCCACCACCCAAAAAUGUUCUUGAAGUGCUCCUGAUCAACUUUCCUCGUGGAGUGCUUUUUGGCUGUGGUGAUCUGAUAUUUUCAUCUCACAUGAUCUUUACUCUUGUCUUUGUCCGUACAUACCAUAAAUAUGGAUCAAAAAGGUUGAUUAAGCUAUUUGCCUGGUUGAUGGCCAUCAUCCAAAGUCUCCUUAUCAUUGCUUCUCGCAAGCACUACACCGUGGAUGUUGUUGUUGCUUGGUAUACUGUCAAUUUGGUUGUAUUCUUUGUUGACAAGAACCUCCCAGAAAUGCCGGAUCGUACAAGUGGGUUAUCUUUGCUUCCAGUAAGCACAAAAGAUAAAAGUGACAGGAUGAAGGAAGAGCUCCACAAGCCCGAGAAGGAUAACAAAAUGAAGGACGAACACCAUAAGUUAUUGAAUGGAAACACCGUUGAUUCUACUGAUCGGCGACAAUGGAUGCCGAUGAACGGAAAGCAUGGCGAAGACAUGAACCACACGCUCUCUGAUGCCGUUCCCAACGGUACAUGA
rnacentral:rRNA from 1 species